rnacentral:rRNA from 1 species
CACGUAGGGCGCAAGCGUUGUCCGGAAUUAUUGGGCGUAAAGAGCUCGUAGGCGGUCUGUUGCGUCCGCUGUGAAAACUCAGGGCUUAACCCUGAGCUUGCAGUGGGUACGGGCAGACUAGAGUGCGGUAGGGGAGACUGGAAUUCCUGGUGUAGCGGUGAAAUGCGCAGAUAUCAGGAGGAACACCGGUGGCGAAGGCGGGUCUCUGGGCCGAUACUGACGCUGAGGAGCGAAAGCGUGGGGAGCGAACAGG